UACGUAGGGGCCUAGCGUUGUCCGGAAUCAUUGGGCGUAAAGAGCUCGUAGGCGGUUCGGCAAGUCACGUGUGAAAUCUCCACGCUUAACGUGGAGGCGCCACGUGAAACUGCCGUGACUCGAGUCCGGUAGGGGAGUGUGGAAUUCCCGGUGUAGCGGUGAAAUGCGCAGAUAUCGGGAGGAACACCAGUAGCGAAGGCGGCACUCUGGGCCGGUACUGACGCUGAGGAGCGAAAGCAUGGGUAGCGAACAGG
rnacentral:rRNA from 1 species